UGUUUUUUUUAAACAUGAAGCGGGGUCCAGAAAAAAAAACAGAAUUUCCCUGAAGUAAUCAAGCAGCUAUAACUUCAUUAAUUCUAAUGGACUAAUGUGCCCUCCCCUGGCGGGGGAAGAAAAAAUGCGCCAAGUCGUGGGGUUAUCAAGCAAAUAACCUUGCUUAGCAUUCUACAGGAAACGCCUUAUCAACAGAACCACUAAGCGUGUUUACCAAGUCUCCACUUUAAAUUUCUUAUCAUCACUUUGGUAUUCCAUGGCCUGGAAUUUCCAGAUUUAAAGCUUCCCAAUAACUCUGGAGAGUUUACAACUUUUAACUUUUCUUUAAAAAAAAUGUUGCUCUUUUAUUACCUUUGCCAACGUAUUUGAAAAGAUUUUCCCAAUUUUGUCAUUUUGUACAAACAUAUUUUUAUAAUUCUUAAAACCCUUAGUUAUUCAUUUUUUAAAAUGAUGCUAAGAUAUUCUGAAAUCUCUCAUCACACUAAGUGAUUUAUUGACCACAUGAACAAAAAACAGAUAAAUUGAUCAGUUUUUUUUAAUUUUCGAAAAUUUGAACUCAUUUCCGUUACGUUAUAAUAUAUUUGAGAUCAGGUUUUCCAAGUCCCAUAAAGAAUUCUCCCUUUUUGUUACUUAAUCUAACAAUUUCUCACUUCUUGAAAUAUUUAAAAUCAUGUUAGUGAAUUUAUUCUUUGUAGGUCGGAGUUUUCUUGCAAUAAGUAAAAUUAAUAAUUUGUAAAAUUCAUUACAAAAAUUAUAAUUUAUUUUAUUGUAUUAUUCUGAAAUUUAUUAUGGUGGCUCAAAAUUUUAGUUUAACUAUAACUUCAGUCAUCAAAUUUCCUAUUUUAUUUAAAAAUAUAAUUUGGAAUCAGUUAAGUAUUAUUUUGCACUUUGUUUUAAAUAAAAUUUGUUAAUUAAUUAAUGUAAA